CGUAGGUGGCAAGCGUUGUCCGGAUUUACUGGGCGUAAAGGAUGCGUAGGUGGAUAUUUAAGUGGGAUGUGAAAUACCCGAGCUCAACUUGGGUGCUGCAUUCCAAACUGGAUGUCUAGAGUGCAGGAGAGGUAAGUGGAAUUCCUAGUGUAGCGGUGAAAUGCGUAGAGAUUAGGAAGAACACCAGUGGCGAAGGCGACUUACUGGACUGUAACUGACACUGAGGCAUGAAAGCGUGGGGAGCAAACAGGAUUAGAUACCCUGGUAGUCCACGCCGUAAACGAUGGGUACUAGGUGUGGGAGGUAUCGACCCCUUCCGUGCCGCCGUUAACACAAUAAGUACCCCGCCUGGGGAGUACGGUCGCAAGAUUA
rnacentral:rRNA from 1 species